rnacentral:rRNA from 1 species
AGAGUUUGAUCCUGGCUUAGAACUAACGCUGGCAGUGCGUCUUAAGCAUGCAAGUCAAACGGGAUGUAGCAAUACAUCUAGUGGCGAACGGGUGAGUAACGCGUGGAUGAUCUACCUACGAGAUGGGGAUAACUAUUAGAAAUAGUAGCUAAUACCGAAUAAAGUCAAUUAAUUUGUUAAUGGAUGAAAGGAAGCCUUUAAAGCUUCGCUUGUAGAUGAGUCUGCGUCUUAUUAGCUAGUUGGUAGGGUAAAUGCCUACCAAGGCGAUGAUAAGUAACCGGCCUGAGAGGGUGAACGGUCACACUGGAACUGAGAUACGGUCCAGACUCCUACGGGAGGCAGCAGCUAAGAAUCUUCCGCAAUGGGCGAAAGCCUGACGGAGCGACACUGCGUGAAUGAAGAAGGUCGAAAGAUUGUAAAAUUCUUUUAUAAAUGAGGAAUAAGCUUUGUAGGAAAUGACAAAGUGAUGACGUUAAUUUAUGAAUAAGCCCCGGCUAAUUACGUGCCAGCAGCCGCG